AGAACGAACGCUGGCGGCACGCCUAACACAUGCAAGUCGAGCGCCCAGCAAUGGGAGCGGCGGACGGGUGAGUAACACGUGGGAAUAUGCCUUUCGGUACGGAACAACUCAGGGAAACUUGAGCUAAUGCCGUAUACGCCCUUACGGGGAAAGAUUUAUCGCCGAAAGAUUAGCCCGCGUCUGAUUAGCUAGUUGGUGAGGUAAUGGCUCACCAAGGCUUCGAUCAGUAGCUGGUUUGAGAGAACGACCAGCCACACUGGGACUGAGACACGGCCCAGACUCCUACGGGAGGCAGCAGUGGGGAAUCUUGGACAAUGGGCGAAAGCCUGACGCAGCCAUGCCGCGUGAAUGAUGAAGGUCUUAGGAUUGUAAAAUUCUUUCAGUCGGGAAGAUAAUGACUGUACCCGCAGAAGAAGCUCCGGCUAACUUCGUGCCAGCAGCCGC
rnacentral:rRNA from 1 species